rnacentral:rRNA from 1 species
UACGUAGGGGGCAAGCGUUGUCCGGAUUUAUUGGGCGUAAAGAGCGUGUAGGCGGCCAUGCAGGUCCGCUGUGGAAACUCGAGGCUCAACCUCGAGAUGUCGGUGGAAACCGUAUGGCUAGAGUCCGGAAGAGGAGAGUGGAAUUCCUGGUGUAGCGGUGAAAUGCGCAGAUAUCAGGAGGAACACCGGUGGCGAAGGCGGGUCUCUGGGCCGAUACUGACGCUGAGGAGCGAAAGCGUGGGGAGCGAACAGG